rnacentral:rRNA from 1 species
UACGUAGGGUGCAAGCGUUGUCCGGAUUUAUUGGGCGUAAAGAGCUCGUAGGCGGUCUGUCGCGUCGGAUGUGAAAACCCAGGGCUCAACCCUGGGCCUGCAUUCGAUACGGGCAGACUAGAGUAUGGCAGGGGAGACUGGAAUUCCUGGUGUAGCGGUGAAAUGCGCAGAUAUCAGGAGGAACACCGGUGGCGAAGGCGGGUCUCUGGGCCGAUACUGACACUGAGAAGCGAAAGCGUGGGGAGCGAACAGG